rnacentral:rRNA from 1 species
UUAAAUGCAGAGUGCAUUCUCGAGAAAUCGGGAUUUCUUCGGGACUCUUUGCAAGGUGCUGCAUGGUUGUCGUCAGCUCGUGCCGUGAGGUGUCGGGUUAAGUCCCGCAACGAGCGCAACCCUCGACCUUAGUUGCCAGCAUUCAGUUGGGCACUCUAAGGUGACUGCCGGCUAAAAGUCGGAGGAAGGUGGGAUGACGUCAAAUCAUCAUGCCCCUUAUGACCUGGGCUACACACGUGCUACAAUGGUUGGUACAACGAGUUGCGAGUCGGUGACGGCGAGCUAAUCUCUUAAAGCCAAUCUCAGUUCGGAUUGUAGGCUGCAACUCGCCUACAUGAAGUCGGAAUCGCUAGUAAUCGCGGAUCAGCACGCCGCGGUGAAUACGUUCCCGGGCCUU